rnacentral:rRNA from 1 species
GACGAACGCUGGCGGCGUGCUUAACACAUGCAAGUCGAACGGAAAGGCCCCUUUGGGGGUACUCGAGUGGCGAGCGGGUGAGUAACACGUGAGUAACCUGCCCUUGACUUCGGGAUAACUUCAGGAAACUGGGGCUAAUACCGGAUAGGAAUCCUUGCUGCAUGGUGGGGGUUGGAAAGCUUCGGCGGUUUUGGAUGGACUCGCGGCUUAUCAGCUUGUUGGUGGGGUAGUGGCUUACCAAGGCUUUGACGGGUAGCCGGCCUGAGAGGGCGACCGGCCACAUUGGGACUGAGAUACGGCCCAGACUCCUACGGGAGGCAGCAGUGGGGAAUAUUGCACAAUGGGCGGAAGCCUGAUGCAGCAACGCCGCGUGCGGGACGACGGCCUUCGGGUUGUAAACCGCUUUCAGCAGGGGCGAAGCUUUUGUGACGGUACCUGCAGAAGAAGCACCGGCUAACUACGUG